rnacentral:lncRNA from 1 species
AUGGGGUUUAUAGUAGCUAUGUUUUCGAGGGACAGGUUUCCCUAAAAAAAGGAAAUUAACGAGCUUACUUCCCCUCCCCUUCUUCUUCUUUUCCCACUGCUCACCCUACCACCAUCAUUUCUCCUCCACCUUUGCUAUAAUCACCAUACUAGCCACUAAAAUAGCUUUCUCUUUCCUUUUUCUCACUGGGGCACCUAUUUCUCUUCUCCCUUUUACCGUUAGACGUCAAGCUUUGGAAGGAGAACGACGCUCUUUUGCUACCACCACCAAAGCUGUACCUUGCCGGCUUCUUCUCUCAAAUCCAGCACCAAAUUUGGACUCUUCACCGUCAAAAACAUCAAGACAGCCUUUCCUCCACCUCAAAUGUUGCUAUUUAGCUCAGUCCUAGCCUACCGAAGCAGAAGCUCUCCAACCUCGAUCUAGUGGCUUCCGGUGAGAUUUAGGCGAAAAAUACGCAUAUUUGGACUCUAGAUGUUCUCAAGCUUCACCUAGCCUUUGAAUUCUGACAUAGUUGACUGUAUUGGCUUUCAAACUCUGUUACUUUUCAAACACGUAAAAUUUUGAAAUUUUAGUUCGAAAUCAUUUAUUUGGACUCGAAAUAUUAUUUAAAAAUAUUUAGUUCAUCGAUUGUUGAUCAUAAAUAAAUAAAUAAUUUAAUUUAAUUAAUUAGUAACUUGGUUAUAAAGAUAUUUUAGAUUAAUUAAAGGGUUAAUUAUUAUUUGAUUGUACUCGGA